rnacentral:misc_RNA from 1 species
GUGAAUCAUCGAAUCUUUGAACGCAAAUUGCACUCUCCGGUUUUCCGGGAGAGUAUGCCUGUUUAAGGGUCAGCCUAAAAAAACGCUACAUUAUUGCUGUUUUAUGGUUACAUUCGUCGGAGUUGGGUUAUCUUAAAUCUCGGUUUAAGCAACUUAAAAGUUUUUUUUACGGUUCUAAGAAUGUUUCUUAGUUUUGUAUUGUACGUUUAUGGUAUCGAAUGUAUUAUUAGACGUGGCCGUCAUAUCGGAUCGUGUCC